rnacentral:rRNA from 1 species
UGGGGAAUCUUGCACAAUGGGCGAAAGCCUGAUGCAGCCAUGCCGCGUGAAUGAUGAAGGCCUUAGGGUUGUAAAAUUCUUUCGUCAGGGAUGAUAAUGACCGUACCUGAAGAAGAAGCCCCGGCUAACUUCGUGCCAGCAGCCGCGGUAAUACGAAGGGGGCUAGCGUUGUUCGGAAUUACUGGGCGUAAAGCGCACGUAGGCGGACUUUUAAGUCAGGUGUGAAAUCCCGGGGCUCAACCUCGGAACUGCAUUUGAAACUGGAAGUCUUGAGAUCAGGAGAGGUUAGCGGAAUACCGAGUGUAGAGGUGAAAUUCGUAGAUAUUCGGUGGAACACCAGUGGCGAAGGCGGCUAACUGGACUGAUACUGACGCUGAGGUGCGAAAGUGUGGGGAGCAAACAGG